ACGGGUGAGUAAUGCCUAGGAAUCUGCCUGGUAGUGGGGGAUAACGUUCGGAAACGGACGCUAAUACCGCAUACGUCCUACGGGAGAAAGCAGGGGACCUUCGGGCCUUGCGCUAUCAGAUGAGCCUAGGUCGGAUUAGCUAGUUGGUGAGGUAAUGGCUCACCAAGGCAACGAUCCGUAACUGGUCUGAGAGGAUGAUCAGUCACACUGGAACUGAGACACGGUCCAGACUCCUACGGGAGGCAGCAGUGGGGAAUAUUGGACAAUGGGCGAAAGCCUGAUCCAGCCAUGCCGCGUGUGUGAAGAAGGUCUUCGGAUUGUAAAGCACUUUAAGUUGGGAGGAAGGGCAUUAACCUAAUACGUUAGUGUUUUGACGUUACCGACAGAAUAAGCACCGGCUAACUCUGUGCCAGCAGCCGCGGUAAUACAGAGGGUGCAAGCGUUAAUCGGAAUUACUGGGCGUAAAGCGCGCGUAGGUGGUUUGUUAAGUUGGAUGUGAAAUCCCCGGGCUCAACCUGGGAACUGCAUUCAAAACUGACUGACUAGAGUAUGGUAGAGGGUGGUGGAAUUUCCUGUGUAGCGGUGA
rnacentral:rRNA from 1 species